CUUAUCUUCCCAUUCUACUUUUUCUCUCCCCGACUGAGAAACCCUAAUCUCCUCACGUAUUCUCCCGAUUUGUGCUUUGGUCAUCUUAGAUCGAUGUCUUUGGUCCACCAAUCGCAGACGCUUUCUCCCCCGAUCUCAUAGCACCCCUUCCCUAAGUUGGGAUCCUCUGCUCGCUGCCCGAUCUGUGGCUCUUUUUAUGGUAAGAUCUCUAAAUCAACUAAUGAGCUCUUCCCCGUCGACCCAGCUUCUAGCGACGGUAUUUUCCGUCGAUUUACUGGAGAAAAGGUUGGUGCGAGUGAGGGUUUCUCAUUUUGGGUACCAGACAGUGAAUCUCCGUUCAAUUUAGGGUUGGAUAUCGAUGUCGCACCUCUGGGGCGGGAGAAGGCGCCUGCAACUUCUCUCCGGCCUCAACCAUCGCCGAAAAAGAUCGGAUUAUUUGAUGGCGGUGCUGGAUCGGUCCCAAAAAUUGGUGAUAUCUGGUUUGAACUUGGGAAUUGCCCAAACUCCGACGACGAUCGCGAUUCCGAGCCUACCUUGUCCCUAUUCCGGCGUUCUCAACAAAUACGUCCCUGUCGUGGAUGUCGCCUUCCAAUAUUGGGAAACGGUCCGGACCGAGCAACCGAAUAGCGUGGCAGCUUCUGUAAUUUUUCCUUUUGAUGGCUCCCCACUCUCAUCGCAUGAGAGGAGUAUAAAUUGAACCAUCCGGUUCAAUUCCGAAUGUUGUAGCAGACAUGGUAUAUGGGACGGAGGAAGUAUCAAUUUAGUGAAGUGCUAUGUGUUCUUCUUGCUAAAUUUUUUGUAUGACUGCCUAGAUUCUGGCCAACGGCAGCAACAACAAGUGUGCCAAGAAAGUAUGACUGGACUAUUUCAAAACUCUUAAUCAGAAUCCCAAUUAAGAGUCAUAGCCCACUUGUGCAGCACUUCACAAAAUAAUCAAUUUUCCAUAUUAUUCUCAUAUGUAGCAUGAUUGCAUAUUCUACUUUAUUCCUUUCGAACGAAUAUAUAUAUAUAUAUACAAAUGUAUAUACAUAUACAUGGAUGAAAACAAUAACAUAGAAACAAAUUAACACAAAAUACACAUAGAUUUCAAAGGAAACUUCCAUAUGUAUCUACCAAAGGGAUUCAUCAGUUGCAGAUAUUCAUAUUUGUGUUUGCUAUUUUACUGUCCUUUAAUGUACUGUUGUGACCGUUCCAGUUCUCUAUCAUUUAACUAUUUAAUAUUGUAAAUGAAAAAAUCAUUUGUUAUUUUUUGGCAUAUGGACAAAUAUGUUUUUCAUUUCCCUGCAGCAAGUUUUCCUUUUCAAGUAAUUUGAUGUUGCAGUAAGGUUGUCACUGCAACCAUGUUGCAGUCUGAAUUUAUGGGCUUGGCAUUAUUCAUUGUGUCCAAUCUCUUAAAUGCCCACAAGAGUCAAACAUGACAGUUUGGGAAUGGUCAAAC